UACGUAGGGUGCAAGCGUUUGUCCGGAAUUAUUGGGCGUAAAGAGCUCGUAGGCGGUCUGUCGCGUCUGCUGUGAAAACUCAGGGCUUAACCCUGAGCUUGCAGUGGGUACGGGCAGACUAGAGUGCGGUAGGGGAGACUGGAAUUCCUGGUGUAGCGGUGGAAUGCGCAGAUAUCAGGAGGAACACCGGUGGCGAAGGCGGGUCUCUGGGCAGUGAACUGA
rnacentral:rRNA from 1 species